GUCCACGCCGUAAACGAUGAUUACUCGAUGUGUGCGAUACACUGUACGCGUCUAAGCGAAAGCAUUAAGUAAUCCACCUGGGGAGUACGAUCGCAAGAUUGAAACUCAAAGGAAUUGACGGGGGCCCGCACAAGCGGAGGAGCAUGUGGUUUAAUUCGAUGAUACGCGAGGAACCUUACCUGGGUUUGAAUGCUUUUUGACAACCCCUGAAAGGGGGUCUCUCUUCGGAGCAAAUUGCAAGGUGCUGCAUGGCUGUCGU
rnacentral:rRNA from 1 species